AUUGAACGCUGGCGGCAUGCCUUACACAUGCAAGUCGAACGGCAGCACGGGGCAACCUGGUGGCGAGUGGCGAACGGGUGAGUAAUGCAUCGGAACGUACCUUUCAGUGGGGGAUAACGUAGCGAAAGUUACGCUAAUACCGCAUAUUCUGUGAGCAGGAAAGCAGGGGAUCGCAAGACCUUGCGCUGAUUGAGCGGCCGAUGUCAGGUUAGCUAGUUGGUGAGGUAAAGGCUCACCAAGGCGGCGAUCUGUAGCGGGUCUGAGAGGAUGAUCCGCCACACGGGAACUGAGACACGGUCCAGACUCCUACGGGAGGCAGCAGUGGGGAAUUUUGGACAAGGGGGGCAACCCUGAUCCAGCCAUGCCGCGUGAGUGAAGAAGGCCUUCGGGUUGUAAAGCUCUUUCGGCCGGGAAGAAAUCGCACGGGCUAAUACCCUGUGUGGAUGACGGUACCGGAAUAAGAAGCACCGGCUAACUACGUGCCAGCCGCCGCAGUAAAAC
rnacentral:rRNA from 1 species